UUCUGCCCUCUCACGUCUAGCCUCGGGAGGACACAGACGCAAGCGCUAGAGGAGGGCCCCGCGGCGUUGCCAUGGCUACAUGCGCCGCGCUCUGCGCGGGCCGGUGUGAGCUUCUGGGGCGGGCAGCGGGCUCCGGAAGUGUGCAGCUACCCGGGACCAUGGCGGUGCUUGCUGCUGGGGCUGGAGGCUUGCUCGCCUGGGCGACUAGUUCUGGCCUGGUCAGUCGGCGGCUGACAUCCUGUCUGGGGCGGCGUCCCACAGACGGUACAUUCUGUGUGACGUCAACCCUCCAGAGGGCUUCAGCCUCCGUAGAAGCGUCUGUAUCCACAUCGCCUUCCUCCUGAAGACCCUGCUGAAAAUGGAGGAAUCGGUGCUGGUGAUACCCCCUUGGGGCCGCCUCUACCAUUGGCAGAGCCUGGACAUCCACCAGGUCCGGAUUCCCUGGUCUGACUUUUUUGAUCUCUCAAGUCUCAACAGAAACAUCCCUGACACUGAGUACGAACCGUUCAUUGCAGUUUUUCUCAGGAAAUAGAUCUGAAGUGUAUGAGAUCUGUGUUCCCUCCGCUCUGAAAAUCCUGGCCUCCUGGUGAGAUGGAGCGGUGACAAGAAGGCCACUGCCACACAGGCCUUGUCUAAGGAGGACUCGCUCCCUGGGCAGUAAGGGCCAUACUUACCUGAAGGAAAACACGAUGUGUGUGUAGCAUGGGCCACGUGCUGGAGAAGGUAUGUAACCUCUCAUUCAGUAUAAUUUGGUCCUGCUCAAGCUUCCCAUUUUACUUUCCGUAAGAGGUAAGAGUUGAAGAUUUUCUUUGAAUAAAGAUAUUUAGAGCUUAUCUUUUUCUUUAAUUGAAAUGUGGUUGAUUUACAAUGUUUUGUUAGUUUCAGAUAUACAGCUGUUUUGUUAGUUUCAGGUAUACAGCAUAGUGAUUCAGUUGUACAUAUACAUAGUCUAUUCUUUUUCAGGUUCUUUUCCAUUAAAGGUUGCAAGAUACUGAAUAUUUUCCCCUGUGUUCUGCAGUAAAUCUUUGUUGUUUGUCUAUUUUACAUAUAGUAGUUUGUAAUUGUUUAUCCCAAACUCCUAAGUUAGUUUUCUAAGUCUGUGAGUGUGUUUUUGUUUUGUAAAUAAGUUCAUUUGUAUCAUUUUUAAAAAUUCCACAUACAAGUGAUAUCAUAUGAUACUUGUCUUUCUCUGUCUGAGUUAUUUCACUUUAGUGUGAUAAUCUCCAGGUCCAUCCAUGUUGAUGUAAAUGGCAUUAUUUCCUUCUUUGUUAUGACUGAGUAAUAUUCUUCUAUAUCUAAAUUCUACAUCUUUAUCCAGUCAUCUGUCUGUGGGUGUUUAGUUUGCUUCUAUGUCUUGGCCAUUGUAAGCAAUGCUGCUGUGAACAUUGGGGUGCAGGUAUCUUUUGGAAUUAAGGCUCCCUCUGGAUAUAUGCCCAGGAAUGGGAUUGCUGGAUCAAAUGAUAAGUCUUUUUUUAGUCUUUUGAGGACUCACCAUACUGUUUUCCACAGUGGCUGCACCAAACUACAUUCACACCAACAAUGUAGGAGGGUUCCCUUUUCUCCACAGCCUCUCCAGCAUUUGUGGUUUGUGGAUGUUUGAAUGGUGGCCAUUCUGACUAGUGUGAGAUGAUAACUUAUUGUAGUUUUGAUUUGCAUUUCUCUGAUAAUUAGCAAUAUUGAACCUUUUUUUCAUAUUCCUAUUGGCCAUUUGUAUAUCUUCAUUGGAGAAUUGCUUGUUUAGUUGUUCUGCCCAUUUUUGGAUUGGGUUGUUUAUUUUUUUUUCUUAUUAAGUUGUAUGAACUAUUUAUAUAGUCUAGAAUUUAAGCCAUGUUCAGUCUCAUCUUUUGCAAAAAUUUUCUCCCAUUCCAUAGGUUGUCUUUUUGUUUUGCUUAUGGUUUCUGUUGCUGUGAAAAAGCUGAUAAGUGUAAUUAGGUCCCAUUUGUUUAUUUUGUAUUUUAUUUCUGUUGCUUGGGUGUAAUGCCCUAGGAAAACAUUGCUGAGAUAUAUAUCAAAUAAUAUUUUGCCUACGUUUUCUUCUGAGAGAUUUAUAGCGUCUUGUCUAAUGUUUAAGUCUUUAAGCAAUUUUGAGCUUGUUUCUUUUUUUUUUUUUUUUUUUUGCUACUCUAUUGUAUGCUUUCGAUUUGUGGUUAUCUUUUUUUCAAGUAUAUCAACCCAUUACCAUAUCUAUUUCCUUUAGACUGAUAAUCACGUAGGCUCCAACACAUCCUAAGAAUAAUGAGAAAAAAAAAAGAAAGAAAGAGAAAAAAAUCUUUCUUUUCAUGCUACCGUCUCCCAUUACCAACUUUUUGUAUUUUGAUGUACUUUUUCUUUUUUCCAUCUUCAUGUUUAUUGUCUUGUAACUCGUUAUUGCAUUUCCAACUAUGGUU